rnacentral:lncRNA from 14 species
CAGCCCCGGAGGACUGGAGUCUGGUGAAUGUCUGCAGUGCUGUCUGAAACUCAGGGGUGAAACCGUGCUUGGUGGGAAAGAGCAGCAGCUCUGCGGGAGAGAAAUGCUCAAGGGAGAGGGUGUACCCAGAGAACAGCGAUGGAAGCAUGUGUGAGGCAGCAGCUGCGGAAACAGGCAGCAGGGAGGUGUUUGUCUGCUUCCCAUGGAUCUAGCUGUGGAUGUGGAGGAGAGGUGGCCCAAGUAGCUAUGCAGAACAUCAUCACUACAAAACCUGC